GACGAACGCUGGCGGCGUGCUUAACACAUGCAAGUCGAACGGAAAGGCCCUGCUUUUGUGGGGUGCUCGAGUGGCGAACGGGUGAGUAACACGUGAGUAACCUGCCCUUGACUUUGGGAUAACUUCAGGAAACUGGGGCUAAUACCGGAUAGGAGCUCCUGCUGCAUGGUGGGGGUUGGAAAGUUUCGGCGGUUGGGGAUGGACUCGCGGCUUAUCAGCUUGUUGGUGGGGUAGUGGCUUACCAAGGCUUUGACGGGUAGCCGGCCUGAGAGGGUGACCGGCCACAUUGGGACUGAGAUACGGCCCAGACUCCUACGGGAGGCAGCAGUGGGGAAUAUUGCACAAUGGGCGGAAGCCUGAUGCAGCAACGCCGCGUGCGGGAUGACGGCCUUCGGGUUGUAAACCGCUUUCGCCUGUGACGAAGCGUGAGUGACGGUAAUGGGUAAAGAAGCACCGGCUAACUACGUGCCAGCAGCCGCGGUGAUAUGUAGGGUGCGAGCGUUGUCCGGAUUUAUUGGGCGUAAAGGGCUCGUAGGUGGUUGAUCGCGUCGGAAGUGUAAUCUUGGGGCUUAACCCUGAGCGUGCUUUCGAUACGGGUUGACUUGAGGAAGGUAGGGGAGAAUGGAAUUCCUGGUGGAGCGGUGGAAUGCGCAGAUAUCAGGAGGAACACCAGUGGCGAAGGCGGUUCUCUGGGCCUUUCCUGACGCUGAGGAGCGAAAGCGUGGGGAGCGAACAGGCUUAGAUACCCUGGUAGUCCACGCUGUAAACGGUGGGUACUAGGUGUGGGGUCCAUUCCACGGGUUCCGUGCCGUAGCUAACGCUUUAAGUACCCCGCCUGGGGAGUACGGCCGCAAGGCUAAAACUCAAAGGAAUUGACGGGGCCCCGCACAAGCGGCGGAGCAUGCGGAUUAAUUCGAUGCAACGCGUAGAACCUUACCUGGGUUUGACAUGGAUCGGGAGUGCUCAGAGAUGGGUGUGCCUCUUUUGGGGUCGGUUCACAGGUGGUGCAUGGCUGUCGUCAGCUCGUGUCGUGAGAUGUUGGGUUAAGUCCCGCAACGAGCGCAACCCUUGUUCACUGUUGCCAGCACGUUAUGGUGGGGACUCAGUGGAGACCGCCGGGGUCAACUCGGAGGAAGGUGGGGAUGACGUCAAGUCAUCAUGCCCCCUAUGUCCAGGGCUUCACGCAUGCUACAAUGGCUGGUACAGAGAGUGGCGAGCCUGUGAGGGUGAGCGAAUCCCGGAAAGCCGGUCUCAGUUCGGAUUGGGGUCUGCAACUCGACCUCAUGAAGUCGGAGUCGCUAGUAAUCGCAGAUCAGCAACGCUGCGGUGAAUACGUUCCCGGG
rnacentral:rRNA from 1 species